AAGCCUGAAGAAUUUGAUGGGUGAGGGCAGAAGCUUCUGGGUCCCAAGGCUUGCACUUGGUUCUCCUGCAAGGACCUGUAUGACCAAAGCCAAAUGGCUUCUCGGCCAGGAACAGCUCUUCUGAUGGAUAGUCCAGCACGAAGCUUCCCUUCCUUAGGCUUUUAGGGCCCACUAGAGAGAUGCCAAUGCUUAGAUACCGACAUCAAGGCCAAAGACCACAGCCCCUCCUCUUGGUCCAGCUCUUACUGCCUAGAGACCCCUGAGUUAGUUAACAGAGCAGGGAAAGCCCUCCCUGCCCUGCCGUUAAUUCACGUGUGGCUCUGGGCACAUCCUCUCUGGGCCUUAAUGGGGAGAUGAGAGGACUGGAUCAAAACAUCUCCAUUUCUCCUUUGGGCCCUGGGGCCACAAGCUAUGUUAAGGUUCUUUCUACCUCUAAUAUUCUACAGGUAGAAUAAUAUUGUCUACUUUCACUCCCGGAAGCAGAGUCAGAGCAGGAGAUGGGGGUCCUCAAUCCAAGAAACAGCAGAAGCCAAUCGGGGCUGCCUAGUAUUGUGCCCUGAAAGCCUGUCCCCUUAAGAGGCAAUGCCUUGUUUCUGCUGCCUCCAAGGUAGCUGCUUCCUGUAACAGAGUCUCAGAGGACUGUCUGGGCCCUGGCCACUUUAGGAAAAAGGGCAGGAGGACUGAGUUACCUCCCAGGGUGUCAGCUGAGCUCAUCUUGGAAACCCAGCAGAACCAGGGGGCAGAAUGAACCCAGUACUUUCCCUGUCUACACUGGGCAGGGGGAGCCUGCUUCAUCUGUUUUGAACCCCAAUCCAGAAAAGUUUUUCUCUACUUUACAGAAUCAUCUUCCCUCCUCUUCUCCUGGGACACAGCUUGUUCAUUCUGACUGGGUUCAUUCCCCUUGCCUAGAAGGAGUUCUGCAGUUCCCCAGGCAAACCCCUCUCAUCCCAGAGACUGGCUCAAAUUCCACCUCCUCCGAGAAGCCUUCCCUAACCACCUGUGCCCUCGGGGACUGCUUGUUCCCUCUGAACUCUGCCUCUGCCAGGAGUCCGCGGAGACCUCAGCACAGAUGGACCAUUUUCUCCAAACAGACUGGAAGCUCCUGGUGAGUCAGGCCUGGGUCUCACUCUUCUUGGUUCCCCGAUGUGCCACAAGCUCAGAGCCCGCUGGCUGGUUUCAGCUGACCUGCCUCUACGACCCCACCUUGGACAGACGAAUUAAUUAGCUGCUCUCAGUCCUGGCUGGCCAGCCCAAAGCCAGAGCCUCUGUGAGUCUGCCUGGCACACAGCAAGUGCUACUGACCUGGUCUCAGAUAGGCCCAGCGCUGUGGAAGGGCCAGUCCGGGCUUAGGGAGAGCCUACAACACAUCAAGGGAAAGGAAAAGUUUCCAUUUCAAAAGUUUGCUGCGCCACAGCCUGUGAGAAUGACAGGUCCCGAGGCUGAGUCAGCUUUCACACUCUCACACACUUUCUUCAUACAAAUACAGGCAUGCUUGAGGGGUUAAGAACUUGGAAUUAAGUUGGCCUGGGCCCCAGACCAACCCAAACCACCAUGCUCCUUUAGCCCUUCGCUCCUCCAAGAGGAAACAGUGUCUCUUCUGUCAACCACUCAAGUUACCAACGUGGAUGUGCCUGGUCAUUUACUCUAGUUAAAGACCCUUGGGACCUCUGAUCCCCCUUGAUCUUCACAAUGACCUGACCAGGCAGGAAAGAGGACACGGCCUUGGGUUAGAAAUCCAGGGAUUGUGUCCUUUGCCACUUACUUGCUAAGUGACCUCAGGCAGGUCACAACCUGGGGCUCGGUUUCCUUAGAUGUAAAAUGGUUACAUCAAUACCACCUGCUAUUCUAACCCACAGGACCACUGAGAAGAGCGGAAUUAAAUACUGUACACGCAAGUGCUUUGGAAACAAGUUACAAUACUAAUGAGAAUUACUACUAAACUCCACCUGCCUUACAGGGCUAGAGAGUUGCGCCAUCUGCUUCCAGCACAGAGGCUGCCUCUCAGGGGAUCCUGCUGGGCCCCAAGGGUAACCAAAAGCAGCCCAGUACCCUUCCAGCCCAGAAGCAGGAGAUGGUAAUCACAAGGUUAGCCAUCCCCUGCUGGGCAAAGGAAACUACUCUUUAAGAGGCAUUCCCCCUGCCAAAGCAGGGAAGAAGCAAGCUCAGUCAGACCACUGAGAGAGCAAAGAGAUGGCAGGCAGGGUCACUAGCAGAGGCCAAGGGAUAGGCCCAGCCUGGCUGCGGGAUUCAGGUACACAUAUGCGGACUCACAGGGACAGAAGAUGGGCCCAAAGCCAGCACAGAACCCCUACAAGCUUUCUCAGGGCAGGGAGAGGGCUUCCGCCAUCAACAAGUGCCAGCCCCCAGAGGGAGUCCUAAAAUCCCGGAAGGCAGGUGCAGUGAGCUGGGCACCCACCCCAUGCAGGGGCCCGGGCAUCUGCUGAGGAGGACGUGAGGGGCAGGAGAUGCAGCUGCACCCUGAGAGGAGGCUGUGCCAAGGCUCAAACAGAGAUAAAUGGUAAUUCAGCAUCACAGCAGAUAACCCCUUUGAGCUGUUUCCUCAUCUGUGAGACAGAGAGCCUUUAUCUCAUAGGAUGAUAGUAGGAAUUAAAUGAGAUUACUUUUAUAAAGUGCCUGACACCACUCUGUAGAUACUCAAUAAAUGGUAAUUCUUACUAAAACACACAUCCCCCCCACCCCGCCCCCAACAGAAGAGAUGUCACAGGGCAGGCUAGGCCUAAUGCCAAAGUUGUGGAUAAACAAUAAGGGAUAUGGUUUUAGGGGAGAAAUGAAAGCAACGGCUGUGGGCUGGAGUGGGCUGGGAAGACGGCCCAAAGUGGAGGAAUCUGAACAGGCCCUGAAAGCUGCCACAGCACGUUGGGCUCUGUGCUAGCAUUCCCACGUUUGGUCUCUACACCGAUCCUGGAAGGUAGAGACGGCAUCCUUACCUUCCCAAUGAGGCAAGUCAGGUUCAGAGAAACCAGGGGCCUGGUCACACAGGUACCGAGGGGCAGCGGCAGAGCCCAGGCUUUUGUGACAACGUCUGUCCUUCCCACCAGAGCUGGAGGGGCUAGGUGGGGCGGGAAGGAGAGGCAAGGUGCACCUCGUGGGUGUUCAGCUGAAUGAACUCCAGGCAGUAUGACCAACAGAGGCCCUCUAAGUGUCCUGGAGCCUCGGGACACACAUGUCCUACCUGAAGCUUCUUCCCGGUCCCCAGAUGACCUCCCCUCCCACUAUCCUGCAGUCACUCAGCUGUUUUCCCAAAGAGGAAAAGGUCACCUUUUUCUUUUUGGAGAGUUCCAUCUGGGCUUCUAGAGACAGUUUCAAGGUGACCUUUAAGUUGUUCCUCUCUCCUUCUGAGAAGUGAGAGAGGAGAGUUCCAGUCUUACACAGGAAACCAGCUGCUGGGUCUGAUAUCCCACACGUGAAGUGGGCAAUAAUGAUCCCCAUCUCCCCUCCUCACAGACUUGCUCUAAGGAGGAAAUGGCAGAACAAACCUUGCAAACACCAAAACCAGAAAAAGCUAUAAGACGUGAAGGGACAAUGGAAGGUUUUUUUGUCUCUGGUCAGGAGACGAGAUGGAUACCUGCUUCAUAGGCUGCCAGGAGUUCCUGGUCUGGGAUAUGUGUAAACAAACGCAGGGGGUGCCAGUGGUGAGCUGGGUUACAGCGAGGCUCUCCCUUGAAACACGCACUGGACUGGGAGCCAGGUAAACAGGGACAACGUGGAAUUCGUGCAGGGUCCAAACCACAAUGUGAGGUGGAGGUGGGGGAGGGGAAUGGGCCUACCUAAGGCUUGGAGUCUUUCUCAGAGUUCUCCCAAUAGUUUAACCCCAACUCACAUCACCAGCCCCUCCUCACCAAGGAAAAGGCAAGAAUCCCUGACUGUCAGAGAGAGAAAAAAGGCCCAGAGACGGGAAGUGACUUGCCUAAUGUGACCCACUGAGUCACUCAGAAAAGAAUCCAGAAGCAUCUACCCUGGAACUUCAGCUCUAACCCCACCCUUCCCACACGCAUCUCCGCCAGUAUCUACCUGAGGCUCUCUCUGCUCAAUGAUUAGGAUAGGAGUGAGAACCACACACAGAACCUUCUAUUUUUAAAGGAGGGGUAACGUGCAAGGGAAGCAGCUGCCCGAGAUGACAGAAUGAGGCCUCCAACAUAGCUCCUACCCAUGCUGGGGUGCUGAGAGAGUAGGCAAGACCCCAAAAUGAACUCCUAGGCUCCUGGGUAACUGACAGUACAGAGGGAGCGUGGCCUCGGCACACCCCCCAUCCCCCAAGUCGGUCGGUGCCAUGUCCCCUCCCCACAGGACCUGCUCUGGAGGCAGCUUAAGUGAAGGAAGAACAAAGUCAGUAGGACUGACUCUCAGUCCUUCCUGAAACCUUAAGGAAGGACUGCUGGUGGCAGCCUAGGUUGAGAGUUUUGUAAUCCUCCAGCCUCAGAGGAAGCCCUCUCAGUGGAGGGGCUGAGGUAGGGAUGCAUUUACCUUAGGUGGUUAAAAUGCCAACGGGAGCAGCUGCAACUCACGGAGUGCUUCCUAUGGGUACAAAGCCAGCUUUACGCGUGUUAAUUUAUGUCAUCAUCACGCCAGCAGCAUUAGAGCUAGAUACUAUUAUUUCCCCCUUUUUAUACUUGAGGAAACUGAGGCUCAGGGAGGGUAAGUGGCAGAGUGGUGCCAACCUCAAUUCAACACUGCAAAGGGGGAGUCCCCCGGUGGCCUAGUGGUUAGGAUUCGGGGCUUUCAACUGCCGCAGCCCAGGUUCAAUCCCUGGCUGGUUGGGGAACUGAGAUCCCGCAAGCUGCGUAGCCAAAACAAAACAAACAAAAAAACCCAAAACUCUGCAAGGUAAAGGGAACAAUGGGCUUUCACUUUUUGCCACCUGAACUGGGACCCUUAAGAUCUUUUGGCCAUCUUUCUCUCUACCCUCUUCCCAGGAUGGCCAGAUGCUAGGGCACCCCUGUUUUCAGAGGCAGAAAAUUGCCCUAUCAAGCCAGAGACACAGUCUCUUGGAACUACAAAUGCCCUCGGAGAUCAUAUCCAGCCUCCUCACUUUACGAUGAGAAAACUGUGGCCCAAGGGUGAGUGACUUGCCAGGGUCACCCAAGUCAGCGGGAUGGCAGCAAUGUCAGACCUGCAAGAGGCCACAAAGAUCAACCGACAAGUGGAGAGGCAUGACUGGCCCAAGGUCACAGAGGGAGGUGGUAUAAGAGGCCAAGUUUCCUAACUUCUAGACUGAUUCCCUUGUCACGGCACCACCUCCGCCAGCUGCCCAGGGUCCCGGGCACAGUUUUGGCAGGGACAAAGCAGGCCAAGCCUGACCCGAUUAGGAUUAGAGGUAAUCAGGCCUGCAGAGACAAACU